AGCCUCCUCAGGCCUGGGGGCGGGGAAAGGCCUUGCGCGUGCGCAGUGCAGUCUUCCCGGGAGUCCGGAGCCCGCACCCUGGGCCUGGCCUCCAGGUGAGGCCGGGCAGCCUCGCCUGGCUCUGGAAGAGGAGGCUCCCGGGGCGGGGCGGGGCGGGGCUGCAGCUCCCCGGGCGAGGCCAGGCCUGGGGGACAGGUGGGUCCGCUAGCUGCAGCAUUCAGCAAACGACAAAGGCACACCUCUCUUACCUGGAACAGGAACCAGCCGGCUUCUCCCACUGCAGGGGGCAGGCCAGCACCGUCCCACCGGCGAAGGAACAGAGGGGCCCAGGCAGGGCCCCGCCCCAGGGGCUGAUGCGAGCUUGACAGUGCCUGUGAUGCUGCAAGGACGUGCCAACACGGACCAACUCCCUAAUCAUUAAAAACAAAACCAAACCAACUUCUCAGGAAGGAGUUUGAAAACGGGGAGUAGGUGAGCCAGACGCCUGUCCUCUGUCCUGUGAGCCCCGCUGCUUCCGGGGCCUGCUGCCCUCAGCUGCCACCAGCAGGAGUGAAGGGGACCCAUGGCAGCUGGUAAUGACCUGACCCCGGAUUAGCAGCGUUCAAACUGCAUUCACACUCGUGACCCCGGAGGUAGGCAGGACCGCAGUAUUGGCCAUUUGAGGAAAGUCCAAGACCCAGGAUGGUUAGGGACUUCCCUGGUGGUCCAGCGGUUAAGAAUCCACGUGCCAGUGCAGGCGACAUGGGUUCGAGCCCUGGUCCGGGAAGACCCCACAUGCAGCAGAGCAACUAAGCCUGUGCACCAUAACAACUGAGGCUGUGCCCUAGAGCCCGCGAGCCACAACUACUGAGCCCACGUGCUGCAACUACUGAAGCCCGGGCGCCUAGAGCCCCUGCUCCGCAACAAGAGAAGCCACCACAAUGAGAAGCCCGCGCACCGCAACGAACAGCGGCCCCCGCUCACCGCAACCAGAGAAAGCCCGCGCGCAGCAACAAAGACCCAACGCAGCCAAAAAUAAAUAAAUAAAAAAUAAAUUUAUUAAAAAAAAAUCCUAUGGUUUAAAAUUUUUUUUUCUUUAAUAAGGUUUUAUAAUUUCUCCAUUAUCCAUCUUUUAUUAGCUCUAUUCCUAGGUAUUUUACUUGUUGCUAUUCUAAAUGAUAUCUUUUUAAAGUUACAUUUUCCAGUUGAGUCGAGCUGUUUACGGAAAUACAAAUGUAUUCGGUUAUUUUAUCCAGAACGCUUGUUGAAUUCUUUUAUUAAUUUGUACAUUUUGUAGAUUAUUCUGCAUUUUGUAUAGACAAUCCUAUCAUCUGCAAGUAAUGCUAGCUUUGUUUCUUUCUUUCCAAUUCCUACAUAGUUACUUGUUUUUCUUGCACUGGCGAGGAGCCCCAGUACACUAUUAGCUAUACAUGAUGACUGUAGGCAUUUUGUCUUGCUUCUGAUUUUAAAGAGAAUGAUUUCAACAUUUCAACAUCAAUUACGAUGUUUGCUGCAGGUCUUCGUAAAUGGCCUUUAUGGAUGUCUACUUCUUUUCCUAGUUUGUAAGAGUUUUGUUUUUGUUUUUUUUAAAUCACUAAUGUAAUAAAAAAUGUAUUAACACGUGCAA